rnacentral:rRNA from 1 species
UACAGAGGGUGCGAGCGUUGUUCGGAAUUAUUGGGCGUAAAGGGCGCGUAGGCGGUGUUGUAAGUCACCUGUGAAACCUCUGGGCUUAACUCAGAGCCUGCAGGCGAAACUGCAAUGCUGGAGGGUGGGAGAGGUGCGUGGAAUUCUCGGUGUAGCGGUGAAAUGCGUAGAUAUCGGGAGGAACACCGGUGGCGAAGGCGGCGACCUGGUCCUUGA